rnacentral:rRNA from 1 species
CCUACGGGAGGCUGCAGUAGGGAAUCUUUCACAAUGGGCGAAAGCCUGAUGGAGCAACGCCGCGUGCAGGAUGAAGGCCUUCGGGUUGUAAACUGCUUUUAUAAGCGAGAAAUAUGAUGGUAACUUAUGAAUAAGGAUCGGCUAACUACGUGCCCGCAGCCGCGGUCAUACGUAGGAUCCGAGCAUUAUCCGGAGUGACUGGGUGUAAAGAGUUGCGUAGGUGGCAGAAUAAGUAGCUAGUGAAAUCUGGUGGCUCAACCAUUCAGACUAUUAGCUAAACUGUUAAGCUCGAGACCGUUAGGGGUAACUGGAAUGUCUAGUGUAGGAGUGAAAUCCGUAGAUAGUAGAAGGAACACCAAUAGCGUAGGCAGGUUGCUGGGACGGUUCUGACACUAAGGCACGAAAGCGUAGGGAGCAAACGGGAUUAGAUACCCUGGUAGUC